CAGUCGCCACGGUAAUACCGAGGGUGCAAGCGUUAAUCGGAAUUACUGGGCGUAAAGCGCGCGUAGGUGGUUUGUUAAGUUGGAUGUGAAAUCCCCGGGCUCAACCUGGGAACUGCAUCCAAAACUGGCAAGCUAGAGUAUGGUAGAGGGUGGUGGAAUUUCCUGUGUAGCGGUGAAAUGCGUAGAUAUAGGAAGGAACACCAGUGGCGAAGGCGACCACCUGGACUGAUACUGACACUGAGGUGCGAAAGCGUGGGGAGCAAACAGGAUUAGAUACCCCGGUAGUCCCUGUCUCUUAUAC
rnacentral:rRNA from 1 species